CAAAAAAGUACAGAAUGUCCUCCUGGGGUUGACAAGCAAAUAGUUUCAUAAAUAACCCUCUUGACACGUGCAAGAUGUUAACAUUUUUGAGGUUUUGGUCAGGGGCAGACGUGGAUUUAAUUGCUUGAUUCAGUCUGGAGCCACAAUGGACUUGGACGUCACCUCUUGGGGGCCGACGGAAAUGUUUUUCUUGGCUUGAGAUAGCUGGCAUUGCUUGUCGGUACUGAGGACAAAGGCCUCUCCUUAGGAGAUUCUGGGCCAAGGCCGAGAGCUGCACAGGUGACCAAGAGCAGAUGCUUAUGCCAAAGAAAGACCAGAGGGAGCUGGAGGAGUAAAGGCUGAAAGGCAUCUGCUGCUCCAAGAACGCAGAACACUACUUUCAAAGCGGAUACCUUUUUUGGAGCUGUGCAUUCCAAAUCUUGACAACUGGAGUCAAAACAGCGCCUGGCAGUAUGACUGACAACCACACAUCGGCGAGCGGCUCCAGUCACUCAACGCAGAAAGAGCUGGAAGGCUUCCACCUCCCUGCCUGCCUCCGC
rnacentral:lncRNA from 12 species